ACGGCAGGGGUAGAACAUCAACAGGCGAAAAAGCAUAAAGCCUCUCUGAUUGCCCGUGUUGGUAUGCCCUCUGUCACCACAUUCUUCAAGAAGGUAGAGCUUUCCCAAGAAGAAUAUGAUUUAGCUGUGCAGGAGGGUGUCUUUACAUACCACACUAUGCGACACAAUCAUAGUUACGCCAUAGUGAGUAACGUGUUAGCAACAUGGGCAACUAUUUUGGUAACACCGGACUUAGACCAGGUUGAAUUUGUGUCCAUGUCCAUUGAUGCGUCAAUCAUGGACAUGUAAAGCUGCUGCCAAAAGUAGUCAGAUAUUGUAAGAUAUAUAAUGGCAGCAAAUCUGUGGAAACAAAACUGCUUGAUUUGGUUGAAUUGAAAGGAGAAACAGCAGAGGAAAUUGCAGCUGAGGUCCUGGUGGUCAUCCAAAAAUGUAACCUGGAAAACAUUCUCUGCCGACAACAAAUACCAACUUUGGAGGACUGAAUAGGCUGGGGAGAGUCAAUGUCCAUACCAAAGUAAAUAAUGCUCUGCAGCGGGAGGUGAUUGGCUUAGGUUGUCCUGCCCACAUCAUUCAUAACAUGGCCAGAACAGCUUUGAAUAUGACUCCCCAUGAUGUUGAGUACCUGGUCACAAAGAUAUUUUCAUAUUUUUAUCGUCAGAGUAGAAAGACUGAAGAGCUUUUGUGAGUUUGUUGGCCAGGACUACCAUAACAUUUUAGGACACAGCAAUGUUCACUGGCUGUCCAUGCGCCCUGCUCUAGAAAGAGUGCUGAAAAGGUAUAUGCCAUUGAAAUCCUUUUUUCUUUCUGAUGUUGUCCUAUCGUCCUGCAAACAAAGUUCAAAGAUUGAACUUUGGACUCUGACUGAACUUUGGCUGGCCUUUGUCCUUGGAAACCUGACCGUAUUCAGUGACACGAUCAAGAUACUUGAAGGCCAGGACCGCUGUGCUGUGGAGUCAGCUGCAAUUCUGAGAAACGGUGAGGCAAAAUUGACUGCAAGACGUGAUCACAACUUCAUUCCAGUUUUGGGCAGAUGACUUCUGAAGAGCUAGAGGAAAAUGGAGCCAUGUCUAAAGAGAGCUUUCUCAAAACAUCCCAAUCAUUCUUCACUAUGGCUGUGAACUACUUGCAAGCAUGGGGAAAGCACACAGAUAAUGUUACGUGCCUCCUAAGAGGAGGGAGGUGCAGGAAUCAGGAGCAGGAGAGCAAGGAAGUCCCAGUGGCACAAGCGUUUAUUUAGAAGUCCCAACUCAACAACAACAAGGGGGGAACACACCCAAAUGAAGUCGCCACACACAGGGAAAUAAACGCAACACACGGAGGAGAAACCUCUACUCCUAAACACAUUCCAAAACGGUACAACUACCGUGAGAAAGAAAACCCUGUGGUGCAAACACGCACCCCUAACGAAGUAACAACAGCAAAUAAUCCAGCAAAGAAUAGCAGGCAGCAGAGGUUAAUAAACCCACCGAAAUUAACUAAUAGGACACAGGUGUAAACAAAACAGACAGACACAAACUAAAAGGAAAAAUAGAUCGGUGGCAGCUAGUAGGCCGGCGACGACGACCGCCGAGCACCGCCCGAACAGGGAGAGGAGCCACCUUUGGUGGAAGUCGUGACAGUACCCCCCCUGACGCGCGCCGACGCCGGCCUCGAGUACGACCCGGAGGACGAUCCGGAUGGAGGCGGUAAAACUCACUCAGCAGAGAUGGGUCCAAGACGUCCUCCACCUGCACCCAGCAUCUCUCCUCCGGUCCGUACCCCUCCCAAUCCACGAGGUACUGCAGGCCCCUCACCCGACGCCUGGAAUCCAGUAUGGAUCGCACUGUGUACGCCGGGCCCCCCUCGAUGUCCAGGGGGGGCGGAGGGACCUCCCGCACCUCAGCUUCUUGAAGCGGACCAGCUACCACCGGCCUGAGGAGAGACACAUGAAACGAGGGGUUAAUACGGUAAUAAGGAGGAGCUGUAACUUAUAACACACCUCGUUUAUUCUCCUCAGGACUUUAAAUGGCCCCACAAACCGCGGACCCAGCUUCCGGCAGGGCAGGCGGAUGGACAGGUUUCGGGUCGAGAGUCAGACCCGGUCCCCUGGUGCGAACACCGAGGCCUCACUGCGGUGGCAGUCAGCGCUCGCUUUCUGCCACCCUUCGGCCCGUUUCAGGUGCCCGUGGAUGGCCUCCCAGGUCUCACUUCACCCAUUCCUCCACCACAGGAGCCUCGGUCUGGCUCGGAUGCCACGGUACCAGGACCGGCUGAUACCCCAACACGCACUGAAAACACACACUCAGUUCUGGGCACUGAGGUGGAGUAGGCUCUGACCGAGAUGCCUGCUCGAUGUCCGCGUCCACCUCCCACACCACCGGUGCCACCAGACAAGAGGCCGGAAGUAUGGGGGUGGGAUCGAUGGACCGCUCCUCUGUAUUAUACAGACGGGACAGUGCGUCUGCCUUAGCGUUCUGGGAACCUGGUCUAUACGAUAUCGUAAAUCUGAAUCGGGUGAAAAACAUGGCCCACCUUUCCUGGCGAGGGUUCAGUCUCCUCGCCGCCCGGAUGUACUCCAGAUUACGGUGGUCAGUCCAGAUGAGGAAAGGGUGUUGAGCCCCCCCAAUGUCUCCACACCAUCAGAGCUUUUACAACAGCCAGUAACUCCCGGUCCCACACGUCAUAGUUUAUCUCCGCCGGGCUGAGCUUCCUCGAAAAGAAAGCACAGGGGCGGAGCUUCAGUGGCGCGCCUGAGCGCUGUGAGAGCACGGCUCCAAUCCCAGCCUCGGAUGCGUCCACCUCCACUAUGAAUAUUGUUCAUUGCCUAUAUUGUUGGUUGUUAUGGGGGUCUGAUGAUCCUUGUUUCCUGAAGACAGAGGGCAGCGACCCUCUCCAAAGCUUCCUGCAGUGGUGUGAAGGGCGGAAACUCAACAGCAAGGAAUCACAAUAUCCAGAAAAAGUAUAAAGACAUUUUGCACAAUAAGUUAAAAGCCCUCCACUUCACAGACCUAGGUGUAUUGGGGGUGAAACUCAGCUGACUUCUGUGCAUUCUGUGUUCAUGCUUAUUCAGUUGUGUUCACAUCAGCAAGGAGGACACAGUAGCAGAGUAUGGCAUGCUGGUAGGACAUAGAUGAGGGGGGAGUUGCUCUUCACUAUACCCAGAAUGGCUCUUCUGCACCACCAAAGUCCUGGCAAAUGCUGGAAGGUAAAUAUCUCUGGAGAGCACUUCUGGCUGGGUGCCCCUCCUGGCUUUGAUGUAUGAGUACACAUUUCCCCAGUCCCACUGAAGGCCUUACCUAUCCCCCUGGCCUCACUUUACAGCUCUGGAUCACCCCAUGUUUAGGUCAAAGGAUGAGAGGGAUAGACUCUCGAAGUGGACUGGGAUCCCAGAGGCGGUGGACACUGACCUCACCAACAUCCAGAAAGAGUAUGAAGACAUCGUCCUACCUUUCAUCACGUUACACAUUCAACCUGUGGGAUCCAGAGAGACACACACUUUACCUCUACAGAAGCAUGGUGGCUUUUGUCAUGGCUUACAGGUGAGAAGUUGCAUGACUCAGUCAUCAAGGAAGGGCUAUAGAAUAGUGGGAUGAUUGCCUUUCCGCAAUGCUGCUUGUUCAUCAUUACAAAACAGUCCACCCAAAUUAUAGACGUUUGAUAUUUUCCUCCAGUCAAGUAUACAAUUUAUUUAUAUUGUUAAUGCAGCAUAAUUUACAAAGUUGAUCAUACAUCCAAAAUAUAAGAUACAAUAUGAUUCUUACGCAUAGGGUUGCAAAGGAAGGGUAUUGUCACGUAUACUCCCUCUCUGGCCUCUAGGUCGUCAGGCUGCUGAUUAUCCCGCACACCUGUCACCAUCGUCUCGCGCACCUGCGCCUCAUGACACUCACCUGGACUCCAUCACCUCCUUGAUCAUCUUCCCUAUAUCUGUCACUCCCCUUGGUUCUUGAUUCUGUUUUCAUGUUGGUGCAUUGUUUACGUUUCGUGUUCAUUGUUUAUUUCAUUUAU